rnacentral:lncRNA from 10 species
CCAGGGGCCAUGACGGGAUAGUCCGUGAAACCUUCACCCCCUAAUCUAUCCGUAGCUUCUCAAUAGCCCUGGGAGGCAGGGAUCUCAAAUGAUUACACCAAGCAGCCGGCAAGACCCGCUUUGGGUCAUUUAGAGAUAAAGAGGAAAUGUCCAGCUGUAACAGAAAAGAUAAAGGCAUCUAAGAAGAGAUGGUGGAGGUCUGAGACCCUGUUGCGUUACACGUUAAAAACAACUGAGACUAUGAAGGGGACACAUGAUGGCAAGUGUGAAAGACUCCAAGGCGAUUCUUCCUCCUACACUGUCUCCCUCCCAGCAAGAAGGCUCCAGGUCCUUGUAACCAUUUUGUCUCCAGCUGCAUCUUGAUGUCUAAUCCAGAACCUUCCCGCUGCAAGUUCCCACAACUGUUCUCUGCUGGAUAUAAAGAACAACUGGUAGCAGGACCCUGAGGUCGGUAGUGACGCAGCCUGCAAAGCCAUGCGCUUCCAGCCAGGUUGGUAAACUGGGGCAUCUCUAAAUGACAACAUUUCAGCUUCAGUAGAGGGAUGGAGUGAUGUGGCCUUUCACGUCUAUGAAAGAAAAGUAAAGAAGAGUUUGUGAGUAACAUUUCCUUCAGCACUCCUCAAAAUUUAGAAAAAUGAAGGCAAGAAACAAGAUGAAGAAGAAAGAAGAAAAG